UACAAACUGUGUUUUUUCAUCCUUCAGACUGUUAAUGACCCUGCUGGAACCUACUCCAUGAUCACCUCAACACCCAUGACUGUAGCUCCAGAUGUUGACAAAAGGGAAGACAUUUUCUCUGAACAGGAUGAUGCAAACCAGUAUCAUGUCUACAACUCUAUAUCUGACACACCAAGUAUCUCCAACCAGGGGGACCCCACAUACAGCUUGGUGCAGGACCACAGGAGCCCUGUUGUCACACAGCAGGACAUGACCUACAGCCUUCUGCAGGUGCACUGAUACAGCUGCACAUACCGCAUGUAGCAUUUAUUAUGCUUUAAAAGGCUUGUGUUGUGUUUUGGAAUGCCUGCAUAUAGAGAAAAUAACUACAAUGACUAUGGCCUAUUGAGGGUUUGAUGGACAUCUUCUCCAGUGAAAUUUCUGUUGUAUUUUAGCUAGAAUGUAAAGAUUUCCGGAGGCAAGUUAAAUACCGGUUUGCAGUAUAUAGGCAGAUUUACUAAUGGUAAAUACGUUGUUAAAUAAGCCACGCCCACAUAUGCAUGUCCCAAAAUUGCCCGGAAUUACUGCCUCUCUGAGUCCAUCUGCCUCUUAGUUGAGUAUUUUCAUCAGAUGUUAAAUCAGUAGGCUAGUUAUUAUUGUUAGUUUUAGAUAAGAAAUUAAAACAUUUGUAUGUUAAAUGUAUCAUUUAUUUAUCAUUAUAGAUAUUGUUGUUAGAUAUUGUUGCUUGGUUCUCUGUAUGUCUAAAAAAAUAUUUAUUAACGAUUUAAAAUUCAUAUUAGUGUAUUCCAAAAAUGGUCAACACAAUUUGAAUAAAACGGUUAUUUAAAGUGGUACUGUAAGUGUGCCGCCUCUGUGUGAAUGAACAAAAGCCUGGUAGUAUAAGUGCAUUCACUGACAUUUGUAGACCUGUUCUAGAAUAUUUAACCCAGUGGAACCUUUGGACUUUCAGACUAUGUGGACAGAUAUGGGCUUGGCUAGUUUUUGGAAAAUGAAAAGUUAUCGUCACACCAAUAUUCGGCGAUUAAACGCCUUUGUUAUUUUUGUCAUUUUCAGAUAACUUUAUUCUUAAAAAUAAUAGAAAAAAACUAAAUGGCUACUACAUAAACUUUUUUGUGUGAAAAUAAUGCCUAAUUUGUCACAGUCAUUUGUAAC